UAAUUUGAUUGAUAGCAUAAUAUUUAAGCACACUUAGUGUUUAGUCUAGAAUCUGGAGGGCCGCACAAACCCACAGCGGCCCGGAUUUGGCCCACGGGCCUUCAGUUUGACACGUGCUCUAAGGGGAUAUAUCCCGUAAUAAUUAAUAUCACAGAAGGAACUUUGACAGUCAAGGGGGAACUGCUACCCCACAAAACUUCAGGAGUCCACACUGGGAAUAGAACCCCGAAUUGGACUGUAUGAGAUCAAACCCCAUCCUCCCCCUUUAAUAAAAAGUAAACAAGAACAUGUGAUGGUUGCAGCAGCAUCUUCUCAAAAUAAAACUACACAGGGUAAAAUUCCAAAUUACUGGCAAAACUCUAAUCAUACUGGGGGGGGAACUGGUUCCUCCUCCUGCUUUUUCUUUUUUAUAUCCUCAAACAGAUACAGAGCGUUUCCUCGUGGACGGGGAUGGCGUUUGGCUGGAUGUGGAUGGGAGCCAUGGGGCAAGGUCACGGAGCACGAGGCCAAGGGCCAAAGGAACUUGACGUGCUACCAGUGUGGACAUUUUGGACACUGGGCAAAACACUGUGUGAACAUACCAAAGACUGCCAGGUAUGAUCCCCAACAAUCCUUAUGUGAUUCCUGGACAUUGCUUUCAGGGGAAUACUGAGGCCACACAGAACAUCUACUGAAACACUGCUGAGGACCCCGGAGACAAUGUGGGUACAGCAGACCCCAUGUUGUCUGCAACAGUGGAAGGAAAACACACAGACUUCCUGGUUGACACCGGAGCCACACAUUCCACUCUGGACUCUGAUCCUCCUUUUUCUCUGACAUCAAGAACUGUGUCUUUAACAGGGUUCUCAGGGACUGAACAGAGUCAGCUAUUCACGAUGCCUCUGACCUUCAUCUUGGGUAAUCAGAAUAUGAAACAUUCUUUUGUAAGUUCUCCUACGACUCCCAUGAAUUUGCUUGGGCGACACUUGCUGAUAAAGAUGGGAGCUACAAUCAUGUGCUCGGGUGAUGGAAUAAUUGUUGCUUUUCCUGAUGGCACCUCCCUUCUUUGUGGAAAUUUCCAAACAGAAGGACAGUAUCUGAUCCAGCCAGUGGUGUCUGAGUUUGCUGACAUCUAUUGGGGACUUUUAACAAAUUUACCCUACAGCAGCCUAAUGUCAACGUUCUUGGCCUGGAAGCCCUGGCUCCUGUGUCUGCGCUUCUGUGUUCCUCCUCCGGGUCCACCACACGUGACCCUGUUCUGCGACAGAGACGUAUCUGAAUGGUACCAGGAACCUUUCCUUUCCACUUUGGAGGAAACAACCUGGCAGGUAAAAGUCUCGGACAUUUAUGUAGCCCCUGUUGGUGUAGCUGCUGUUGUCUCUUUCGCAAAAAAAAAAAAAAACAAUCAGAAUGGUAUUAAAUGUCUCACAUUUCUCUCUGUUUGCACCCUGAGCACCAAGUGAAAGAAUUGGGCGUGAUGAUGAAACGUUCCCUGGCAGCCACAGAUUCGAUUGCCACAGCAGCACUAGGUCAAGAGCAGCGCAACUGUGGAGCUGCAACUUUCCAGAUUUUAAAUGUAAAAAGUCCAAUCCUUUCUCGGUGUGCCUGGAUGAAAAUGAGGCAUCUGGACACACGUAGAAACUGGUUGACAUCAACAGAUACUAGACGACACAAUUUUGAAUUAAGUUUGCAGAUCUCAUUAAAACAAAUUAAUCCUGUUGACUUCUUACGAUUUGGCCAGUAUCAUUGCAUUGUGUUAAGACUGAAUUUGUAUCUAAAACAUUGAUUGCCAAGUUUAAAAUGUGUUUUCAUUUUGUUCACUAAACAUAUUUCUUUUCAGUUGGUAAGUUUGCAUCCCUUUAUGACCACUAACUACUUUCAUAUUUUGAACUUAAAGAUUUCAACUCUCAAGUACAAAAAGGGAUCUUAAUACUUUAUUUAGGAUUUUAUUUGUCAGUAUUAUAUCUAACAUUUAAUCAUUUAUCUUAUUCUCAUUAGGUUUUGGCUCAUCCAAGCUUUCAUAUUGACCAACAUUUUAUUCAUCUUGCAUUAUUCAAUUUAUAGUUUACCGGCAUUCACAGUAUUAACCUCACAUUGUAUUCACAAAUUUUUUUUUAAUUAAUAGUAAUAUAAAACGGAUUUCAAAUGCCAGCUUCACUUUCUAACAUUUAUUUUUUAAAUUUACUCUUUUAACUCAUUAAUUUCACUUUAUUCAUUCAAAUUGCACAUUUGAAUGCAAGUGUGCAAUUCAAACUGGUGCAACAUUGAUAGUGUGCUAGAAGACAUUGCCUUGAUUAAACUUUGUAGAUCGCAUUACAACUCAAUACUACUGAAUUCUAAUGAAUUUUCUAGAAUAAUUACAUUGUACUUCUACUGAAUUUUUGACAAUAACACUGAUUUGCAUAUUUUUGAGGGUGUUUGUUUCUUAUUCUGUUGAUUACACAUGGUUUUCAUCUAAAAAAAACAAAAAAGGAUCAGAAAAUUUCUUUGUUUACGUUUAAAAUUUUUUAGCAUCAUCUAACAAAUAUUCAUUUUAAGGUUUAUCUUCUUGACUUUUGGUUUAAAAAAAAUCAAAAUUUUCACUAAUGUUUAUUCAUUUCUCAUUUUACAUUUAUUUUUAAAUGAAAUCUAAUGUUUUAUUCUUUUCUUCAUUUUUGCAUUUCUUUCCAGGUAUUAAAUAACAUUUUAUUCAUUUUACAUUUCAGUUACCAUUUAUCCAUGAAAAUUUUGACAAUUGAUGACAUUCACAUUAUUUUGAAAAAAAAUAUAUAUAUAUAUUAUUUAUUUAUUUUUAUUUAUUAGCUGAAUGUUCUUUGUUAGCCUGUAAGAGGAACACUGUGGUUUCUUCCCGCCGCCCAGGGCCAGGGGGCGCUCUGUUCGAUUUUUACCCCAUAAGAAUGGAAUGAAAUGACAACAACAAACAUUGUAAUGGGCCCGGGGAGUUUUCCGAACAGUGGGCAGUGUUUCCUCAGGAUGUGUGAUGCUCCCCAAGCUGUUUGAUGUUCUAUUUGUGGUCUCUUAGAGACCAAAAGGGGGAGUUGUUGAGACGCUUAUCCAGGGUUGCACGUGUACUCAUGCACAUACAGCUGUAUUUCACACAUAGUAUGUUUCAUUUAUGCACAGAGAGCUUUUGGAGGAAUGGAACUUGACCUUGCAUGUUUCACUUUCAAACAAAAGGCUUUCAGUAGAAGUGAAACUUAAGCUGACACCAUGAUAUCAUGGCAUUCCUUAGCUGACGUAGUUCAUCAGACGACCAAUAAGGCGUGUCUUAGAUAUAAAGAAUGGAUCGUCCGUUUUAGAUCAGAUGCUGUUCAGUCCCGGUGUAUUCACGUCACAACCAAUUAGCCUGUGAGGGUAAGCGUCUCUUUCUUUUUAGCGCUAAAAAGAAUAAAAUAAGUAAAGUCUGA